UUUUUUUUUUCUUUUUGCUUUUUUAGGGCCGCGCCCACAGCAUGUGGAGGUUCCCAGGCUAGGGGUCAAAUCAGAGCUACAGCUGCCGGCCUACACCACAGUCACAGCCACACCAGAUCCGAGCUGCGUUUGCAACCUACACCACAGUUCACGGCAAUGCCAGAAUCCUUAACCCACUGAGCAAGGCUAGGGAUCAAACUCACAACCUCGUGGUUCCUAGUAGGAUUUGUUUCUGCUGCGCCACAACGGGAACUCCUGGAAUCCAAGAUUCUGAUUUCAAUAAAGGGGUUGCUCCCUCUACACUUCAUCAGAAAGCUUCUUGUGGUAACUAAUUAGAGGCAUUGUGCCCAGCGCUAGGAGGUACCAUGAUCUUCAAGACUCCCGUGGACUUUGUGGCAUCGUGGUAGCCAGUGGUCUUGGGUGGUCUGGGUCCCCAGGGGACGAAGAGGCCAGUGAUGUACAGAGAUGGCUCUUGUUCCCAGGCUGGCUUUAUAUGUGGUCUGAAUGGCAGGACAGAGUCCUAGGUUCAACACCGCUAUAUCAUGAGGCCAACCUGGAGCCUUAUGUGCAUGGGCCAGCUCUCAGCUCUAAGCCCAUUUUCCGGAAGCUUCUGCCCUUGAAUAACUUGUGGUUUACUGGGGUAGGCAGGGUACCACCAGCACUCUAGUUACAGAUAUAAUAUAAAUAUCUGAGUACAUGGUUGUACAGAAAGACACAGAGGAGUGUGGGAGCAAAUACAGUGUGUGAACCAGCGGGUGGGGGUGGCGGGCUGGCGUGGGAAGACCCCCAGGAGGAGGCAAACUUGAAAUGAAAUUUUGAAAGAAUAGAGAAGUAGUUGAAUUACCGGGGAGGGGACAGGGUAUUAUAACUGGGGACUUGGUGUGUGUGGAGGCUUUGAGGUGGCCUUGGAGCGCCCCUAAUAAGUACCAGGCUCAGAAAGCUUAACCACGCAGGCCCACGCCCAUCCGUGAAAUCAACUGUACACAGAAUAUGAAACAACUGAUUAUGCAAAGCAACGUCAGUCCAAACACCUUGUUUAACUACAUAUUUCCUCUCCAAGUGACACUUUCUCCUGUUAUUUCAUUUAGUCAUGCAUUCAUUUAUUCGACAAGUAAAAAAUUAUGCCCCUACUGGGUACCCAGGACCUCAUUCAGAACUCCCUCUGUGUCUCCCCGUCCAUUAAAGGCAGGUGCAACCUGCCUACCUCAGAGGACGAUCACGUGGAAGUAAGUUCUAGCAAGGUCCCUGGGUGAGUUAUUUUAAUUAAAGCCCCAGGAACCAAGGAGAAAAUUAGCACAGUGGGAUCAAAUUCAAGCACCACUCAAUACUUGAGGGUAUUUAUAGAAAAGCAAACACAAAAACAAGAAAAAAAUCCAAUAUCCUGACUGGUUGCCUUUUGUUUUCUCGGUAUAAAUUGGUGCCUGUUCUCCUAGCUGAAGAGCACCAAAGCUGUCCGUUUUGACCUUCUGUGGAUGAUGAAAGCCAAGACUGGACCACAUGGGCAGAGGCACUGCUACCUCGCUUAGUGCCUGAGAAUAUGCCACGUGCCUUCCUGGGACCUGCCCAGAAGAAGGGAGAGUCAGGAGGAGGGCGAGAAAGAUACUACCCAGAAAAGGAGUCAAAGGUCUUGACUUUGAGAACUAGACAGAAGUUGGGGAGGAGAGAAAGCAGGUUUCCCUCUGAAUUGUCAAUCCAUAGAAGCUGGUUCAAAGGGGAAGUCACAGCUCUUAGAGGCUCUCGCUACUCAAAGCGCUGUCUGGAGACCAAGGCAGGGGCAUCUUCUGGGACCUGGUGAGACAUGUAGCAUAUGUGGCAUCUUGGUCCCACCCUGAGCCCACUAAGGCAGAAUCUACAUUUUCACAGGAUCUGGGUGAUUCACAGUCUUAGAACUCUUACAGCCUCAGUUUUGCCAUCUAUAAAAUAGGGAUGAUAAUAUGGCCGAUCAAUUGAGGCUUAAAUAAAAUACUUUCCAUACAGAGAUUUGGCUUAAAAUUUGGGUGCUCUCUCCUUCCUCUUUGCAGGUGCCUGGCUCUGUGCAAACUUCUCUUGGUUUUCACUCCGGACACCAAAGGAACAAGUGGUCAUUAGUCCCACCCCAUCUCCAUCUACCAAGGAGGCCACAGAGGUCCAAGUGGAACAGAUGACUUGUUGUAGAUAUGCCCUAGCUUAGGAGCUUCUCAAGAGUAAGGCCUGUAUCUUAUUCAUCGCUGUUUCUCCGGCUCUUGGCAUGGUGCCUGGCAGGCAACAACUCUCCAUAUAAGACUCCUAAAUCAACCACUACAUCAAAGAAUUAACUAAUGGUGGAACAAAAGCAAAAAUGCAGGUGUCUGCAAAAUCCCAGUUUCAAUAACACAUAGAUAUACCUGCAAGUGAACUUGACUUCCCGAGUUCACUCUUUCUGACACUUUCCAAAGAACUGACACCCGGCUGAUAGUCAAGGCCACGGGUUCCCACUGCACAGGACAGCUCUCUGAAUUAAACAUCACUGCUAUUCUCAGUGUCAGGAAACAGGCAAACUUGAGUGCCUGGAGAGAAGGAAUAACCCCCCAGCAGCCAGUGUGCCUGACUUAGCUGGGCAGAAGGGACCCCACCUAGUGAAGCUUCUAAGUCUGCAGAGAUGGUCAAGCUUGGGACAAGGAGCAGCUGAGCCAAAAUGCUAGUGGGUGCUACCCGGUGCUAGUAAAAAUGUCCACAUGGGAUCAACCAUCCAGAGGGGUGUGAGCCUCUUGGCAGCAGGGCUGGGCACGCAGAGGCCAGUGGUUCCCAGGAAUGAAUGCUCUAUGUGAAUCAUUUAUCCAUCAUUCUCUCCAUGGGGGUCUAGCUUCCUGGCCCACCUGCCUAUCCAUGUUGGGAGCACUCAGUCCUUGGUGACAGGUACAGUUGGAGGGAAUUCUUAAUUUUGGCAUAUCCCACACUCCAAACACGGGUGUCUGUUGAGCGCUAAAGAACACGCAGUAGACAUUGUGCAUUAUUUCCAAGUUCCCUGCCCUUAGACUGUGGAUUCAUCAGGUCAUUCCUCUCUGCCUGGGUCUUCUGGAACCCUUCAUAGCCUCCUGACAUGGGCAAGUCACCGUCUCCAUGUAUAUGAGAAUGGUGACAUUUCUACCUAAUUGAAUUUUUUUUUCCAAAUUUUCUAAGUAAUUGUUUUAAGAGCUCAUACAUAUACAUGGGAAAGAAAAUGAAGAUUACAGGCAUGGACAAGAAAGGUUCCUUCCUUUCUAAACUUACCCUUUUCCUUCUCCAGAGACAACUGCUGUUCCCAGCAUGAGAUGUACCUUGCAGAGACAGCCAAUACAUAUACACAUCUGCUAGAAAUGGAUGACACCCAAGGGCAAGGAUUUCUGUUUUCACUGUUCACUUUUUCGUCCCCAGCACUGAAAAGAACAACUGGCAUAGCUGCCCAAUAGUUGAGUGAAUGAAUGAAUGAAUGUAUAAAUCAGAUGUAUUCCUAAAAAAAAAAAAAAUCACAUUUUGGUAAAUCAAGUCCUGAUCUUCCUUUAUCUUCUGAUGGAUGCACCUUCAGUGGGCAGCGGCUCUGUCCUCAACCAAGAAAAGAGGAUAACUGUUGUUACAUGCCUUUCAGGGUUGCCAUGGAGCCAAUGGGAGCAUGUGGAAGGAUUGGUCCAUGGUGGUCCCAUGGCUCCCUGUUCUCCCAACCCUCUCCAACUGAUACAACACACCACUAUGCUUACUGGUCUAUGCCUUGCCUCCUUCUGCACAGAUACCCUACAGCAGGGACCGUCUUCAUUAAUUCUAUACUCCCAGGGCUUAGCAUCACUUAGAUGAGUAAAUAAAUGAUGCUUCCAAGGAGGGAAACUGAGGACAAAGGGGAGAUAGGAGAGUCAGAGACAAACACGCACACCUUCACAGGCCCCCACAAGGUCACACUGAAGGUUUCUAAUAAAGGAGGAAGAUGAAAGCCCCUGUGUUAGCAGCUUGAAUAAGACAGCGAAUGCUCUUGAUUGUGAAAAUGUGAAGGUUUCAAUGAAGCUAGGUAAUAUGGAAAAUCAAUAAAACUGUCAGCACUGGCCAAUUUCAACUAGAUAAAAGAAUAAAGUAAUUGGCCCUGAAAGACAACUCUCUAAAUUAGGUUAAAUAAAUGGAAAUACCCUUUUGUUUUAAGCCAAAUCGCAAGGACAUCAACAACAGUAAAUGAUCAAAUUAUGAGCCACUUUGACCCAGUAUGACCUGAGCUGCAAGCAUGAAUUUCCCAAAACAAUAUUCUUUACAAGACACAGAAAUGAUGUAUUUGCAAGACAACAGAGACAGAAUUGGAGGCCACGCCAGGAAUCACAGAGCUCACUUCCUAACUAAGGAUCUCUUAGAAACCCACCCUGACUAUAUGCGUGUUUCUUCAACAUGAUGAUUCCUCCUUCAAUCACUUCAUUAGGAAAUCGGCUCACAAACCAAUAGAAAAUGCGCAUCUAUGCUCCCACGAUGGCAGAGGGGAAGGAGGCUUCGGUAGUGAUCCUAAAGGGCACUGCUCUCCAAACACUUAGGAUUCAAUUCUGUUUUUCAUCUGCUAAUGGUUGGCAUUUGGUGUUGUUAACUGUGGAUGAUUCAUUUCAGAGGAACUGCUGUGCUUCUAGAGCCUGUUUGGAAGGAAAUGAGGGUUUCUUGGCUUAUUUCUCAUCAAGCAUUUUAGCCAUAUCUCUUUGUGACAUUAAAAAGCCCUUGAUGGGGAGGGGGUGGUGCUCACUGCUUUUCAAACUGACUCCCCCUGUCUCAUCUGGUGCAUAUGGCCACUUCUAGGAACAAGCACUGAUUCCAGCACGACAAAGGAUAGAGCUCCAAAUCUGGAAAAUAAGGGGCCCCUCCCUGAGCCUGUGUAUCAGUGUCACGUAGUUAUGCUGGGCAGGGGGAAUGCUAAGCUGGUUAUAUGUUGCAAGAUCAACGUUUUUGAACAUCUGGCUUUUGUUAUUUUUACUCUUAUCAGAUGCUUAGACUAUUUCUGUUCUCCACAUGCUACUGGAGAAUCCGGCUUGUCCAUGAAUGUCUGGGGACCUUGUGGGGUGAGCAGGACCAUGAUCUUAUGGCCUUGAGGUGCCUCACAGCUGAUGGAGGGAGUCCCUUCAGCUCCUUGGAGCAGGUGCCUGACUUUGAAGUCACCUAUUUGGGAGGGUAAGCACUUCCCUUACCAUCUCAAGCAAUGUUUCCCAUUAGAGACAGAAUAGAAGUUGCAAAGGGUAGGAGUGUCAGGGCUUGCUGCAGGGCCACCAGCUAGACAGGCUGGGGAGGCGGAGAAUGCCGAGGGUGGUACAAUGCUUCCCAAGGGGUUCCAUGAGACUGCCAAGGGAGCGACGAGAAAAUGUGCCCAAAAGGCUCUAAUGGGAUGCCUGUACCCAGGCUUGACUUUCUCAUAACCUAAGCCCCAUGCUUAUAAAAUGUGCUCUACUUAAUGUCCCAGCCUAGACCAGACUUGGCCUAGAACAUCCCUCCUCCUUGGGGGCCAAGGUGCAUGAGAGGCCUUGACCAUGAAGACACAUCCAAAAAGAACUUCAAACACGGCUUAAUCAUUUCAGUGUUUCAUUGUUGUGUUUGAAAAUUUCUGUUUGCGACACUGAUGACUGUCUUGGUUUGGAAGUUCCCUGAGCACACACAUUGCAUCUGUUUAAUUUAUCAUGUCUAUCCAACCUUACCUAAAAAUAAGAGCUUCAAAGCUGGUCUUUGAUAAUGAUGACAUAAUCCCCCUUACUAAGAAUGGUGUCUCCACUUCUUCCCUAUUAAUCUAGUCUAUCUAAAUGUUUCCUUUUCAGCCCACGCCCUGCCUCUUUCUUGAUUUCCCUGGGUUAUUCUAGCUUCAACUUAUUUCCAUUUGGAGAACUCUUGGCAACACCCAAUUAGGCACUCGAUGUGAUGUUACUUUGCAUUGGUCGCUAACGCUUCUGAACUGUAGGUAAGUCUUGGAUUCCUAAUUGAAUCGCGAGCUCCUUGAAUUCAAGGGCCAUGUGUUCUUGAAAAUGCCAUCUCUCAUGUUCUGCUUCCCAUGCCCCAAAUUCAGCAUGAGCACCAAAAAUGGACACAUUUGUUCAAGUGCAUUGGUAACUACUAUUCAUUUGAAUGAAUGAUUCUUCGUAAUCACCUGAUCAUCAGAAGGUGUCGGGUUAAAUAAUGGCAAAAUUUCUAGGGAGUUCCCGUUGCGACACAGCAGAAACGAAUCCAGCUAGGAACCAUGAGGUUGCAGGUCUGAUCAUAUCUGGCUGUCUGCGCAACCUGGGAAAAAAAAGGCCAGAAAAGAGCUGCAAAGAUGAGAUGAGAUUUCUAAACUAUCUCUUCAGAGAGGUUAAGGGAUUUGAUUGAUUCAGCCUGAAGAAGAGCUAUUUAAUAACUAUCUUCAAACACAUGAAGGGCUUUUACCCAGGGCCGGUGAGAGUGUGGGGGACCACAUGUUCUAUCUGCACUGAGCAGAGAGGGCAUGAGCUCACCUCCGAUGAUGAGACAUUUCUAACAUUAAGGGUCACAGGACCCAGAGAAGCUAAAGAAUGUCCUGCUGGGAAAUAUGUCACUGGGGGAAGGGUGGGGAAGAAAGAGGCAGAAAAUGGGACACAACAAUGGCAAGGGCUGAACUCUGCAAAAGGCAAUCUCAGCCCCUGCCAGAUACAGAUAUUUUUCUCUCAUUUGCCUCUUUAUCAUCUUGCUCUGUUCUUGGACCUUUUGAACAUGCCACCCCCUAGAGUCAGAAACUUGCCCUCAAACUGUUUCCCUGAGCACCCUGUCUGCUGCUCCUUCCUGGGUACCCAGUUAGAGUGUGGGUCACAUCCCUACCUUCAGGUCUCCAGGGCCUUUAGGGUAUUCGUUGAGCAUCACCUAUGUGCCUAUAUUGCUGCAGGCACUGUCCUUAUAGUAAUCCCAUCAUGUUACCUACCUCACAGCCCAUUAUGCCCAGGGGCAGGGGGGAAAUCUGAAGCUCUAAACUAGUAGUCAGCACCACAGCCAGGAUUUAUAUUCGGGACUGGUGGACUCCUAAGGCUCCUCUCUCUGCUGCUGGUCCCAGAGAGGAGGCUGAGUGCUUUCCGAAGACUGUGGCUGCAGGCAGAAUGGGAGAGGGCUGGAUGGAUCCUGCACCCCACUCUUCAUCUUUUGCUUCUGCAAUACGUGCUCACUCCAGGACCUGAUAUCCCACGUUGUUUGUGACGGAUGUGUUGCAAAAAUCAUUCCAAUUAUGUGGUAUCUUUGGCAUUUUAUUGGAAAAUUAUUUCCGUGACACCACUGAGGCCCACUUCUUGUUCUUUCUAUUGUUGUCUAAACUGUAAAGAACUCCCCUGGGUGAAUAUGACACUUGGAUGGAAGGGGAAGGGAGGGAGAAGAGCCUAGAAAUCCUUGGGUUAGAUCCUGACUGCUCCUCCUUUGGGAGCCUGCAAAUGAUGGUUCACUGUCAUAUUAUUAUAAAGAAUAGAAAUACUAUACAAAUUACAUCACAACAGAGGAAGAAAUACUAACUAAUGCGCACAGCAGGAAAUAAUAAUUUGCACAAUUGAGAAUUACAUACAUUGUUGUUUAUGCUUCUGUUGCCUGGACUAAUUACGCUCUGAUUUAAUUAUCUGGAGAGCCUGUAGUGCCAUGUUUACCAGGAAGCCACACGGCCAUUACUUAACAAUAAAAGAAAACACUAAGAGGUGCCUGAGACCAGAGCAUCACACAAAGCAUUCUGAGAAGGUUUCCUCCAUGGGAUAAUAGAGGUAAAGUGCCUGGCACAGUACUUGUCGACCCCUUCUACCUGCAAUAGAUAUUAGCCAGCCCUCAGCCUUGAGCUCUGAUAGAUGUCUACUCAAAUUACACCAGAGAUCAAAAUCACAUGACCAGAAAUGACCUUAGCUGUCAUCCAGCUUGACCUCUUACAUCUGGGGUUAGGUUGCCUGGUUUAGUUAAGCACACACUGGUCAAAUCCCAUUAUGAUGAACUGCACAGGACGUGCCAGCGAUGGAAUUUUAUUAGACAGUUAGAAAUCACAUUAGCUCAAGCUCUAGCAGACAUAAACGGCUGGGCUUUCUACAGUGUGUUAAGUGUGCUAGCAAGAAAAAGAACCCUUUGGCACAUCCCAGAAGAAGGGGGUGGAUUCACACUGUCUCACCCCCACACCUUUCUCUGAGCUCUUUGGUAUUUGCAUGUGUUGUAAAGUUUGUGCCAUUUCUAUGAAUACUUUUUUUUUUCCCCAUUGAUGGGACCGGAGUGCUUGAAAUAGGCGAGCUGAAAGGAUGCUUGAUGGCAGAAUAAUAGAGUGGAGAAAAUGUCAGGUAUGCCUCCUUGCAACUCUCUUUUCACCCUUUCUCAGAAUAUAGAGUUGGAAAUUUUCACUAGAGAAAGGGGCUUAAAUAAGAAUCUGUAAGUGUCCACAGUCUGGGUAUGCUGACCACAUUUCGCCCGCACCCUUCUCAUGCAACCUAGGUAGCAAAUGUUGUGCCUGGUCAAUCUCUGCUCCUCUCCUCACCACCCCAAUCCUUCCAGAAACAAAACCACCCCUGGACCAGGAGCCCUCAGCCUCCC
rnacentral:lncRNA from 1 species